AAAUCAGGUAGGACUACCCGCUGAACUUAAGCAUAUCAAUAAGCGGAGGAAAAGAAACUAACAAGGAUUCCCCUAGUAACUGCGAGUGAAGCGGGAAAAGCUCAAAUUUG
rnacentral:rRNA from 1 species